rnacentral:rRNA from 1 species
UACAGAGGUCUCAAGCGUUGUUCGGAUUCAUUGGGCGUAAAGGGAGCGUAGGUGGCGGGGCAAGUCAGGUGUGAAAUCUCGGGGCUCAACCCCGAAACUGCACUUGAUACUGCCUUGCUCGAGUACUGGAGAGGAGAUUGGAAUUUACGGUGUAGCAGUGAAAUGCGUAGAUAUCGUAAGGAAGACCAGUGGCGAAGGCGAAUCUCUGGACAGUUACUGACACUGAGGCACGAAGGCCAGGGGAGCAAACGGG